UACGUAGGGUGCGAGCGUUGUCCGGAAUUAUUGGGCGUAAAGAGCUCGUAGGCGGUGUGUCGCGUCGGUCGUGAAAACUUGGGGCUUAACCCUGAGCUUGCGGUCGAUACGGGCAUCACUGGAGUUCGGCAGGGGAGACUGGAAUUCCUGGUGUAGCGGUGAAAUGCGCAGAUAUCUGGAGGAACACCGGUGGCGAAGGCGGCGUUCUGGACUGCAACUGACACUGAGGAACGAAAGCCAGGGGAGCAAACGGG
rnacentral:rRNA from 1 species